UUGUCCGAGCUGGUUAGGAGGUAGAAUGCAAGCGAUUUUAAGCAGAGUCCAGGGUUUUUGAAAUCAGAGAAGCCUUCAUCAACAGAGCGCCGCCUUCUAGUAGAAGCUAUAUUUUCAGAGAAAAUGAAGACUGAAGGAAACAAUCUAUUAUUUCCACCAACCAAAAGAACAAUUUUUCUCUCACAGUAGAAAAUUAUACAGACAUGACAUGGCCUGUAAAAUCUUCUUGGAUAUGCAAUACUCAGUAAUGAUACCAUUGAUUUCAAGGAAAAAGCAAGCUGUGCAAACAUCAUAAGAGAUAUUCACGUAAGUGGAGACUGGAAGCUGUUGAAUCUACAGUAGAAAAGACAAGGAAAGUACAAAAAAUGGUGAAUGAGCUGUUUUCUGUGAGAAGAACAAAUACAUCAUAGAAAAGAAGUUUAUUGACUUAACAGAGGCUUUUUGCACUGCUAAUAUUUCAUUUCAUUUCAUGUCCUGCACAGCCCUGCUAUGAAAAGCUACUUGAAAGCUUCUCGGGAAAAACAUACCUUAUGCUGGUGCCAUACCUUGUUUAGAUCAACCGGGAAAAAAAUACUUACCAAAGCCUCUUGAAAGUCACGUGAAACUGUUUCUGCACUGCUUGUGUUCAAAGACCGCUUGACCUUUUUGAAAAAAAACCACACAGAUGGACAAUCUGUUUCUCCCAGGAUGUUUCUCAUGUAUAAUCAAAUAAAAAAAAUCAGUUAAACUUAGAAUGCUACUUCUUAUUUUACAUACUUUGUUUUCACAUGGUUAUGUGUACAGAAAAUAUGUAAGUGCCUUUUCUAGGUGUUUUUUUCCCCCACUCGUUUUGGGGAGCAUCUGCUGAUAUUUGUGACAUAAAUUUCUUGAAAGAAUUAUUGAGGGACUGUCAUGGGUUUUGUGUAUUGUAGACUGAUGCUCAAGUGCUGAAACCUCUGUGUUCAUCAACACCUUCAUAGCAGCACCAUUUUAGUCCUGUGGGAAAAAAGAAUUAUAGCUUUGGCAAAGAACUCUGACUCUUAAAUGUCUUCUGGUAGGUUUUGCUUUUCCAGAAAAUAUCAAAAGGGGGGACAUUGGGGGUGAUACGUAGCUGUGAGAAACCCCUCCUGAAAUUUGAGACCUUUGUGCAUGGCCUGCAUGUUUUGUUGUUCCAGUGUUAACUUACUCAAGUUGAGUACUUUGAACACAGUCAAGACACAUAUGCUUUCUAUCAAUUACUUUUUUGAAUAUGAUUCCCAUUUUAAAGACAAUUUAUUCAUGAGGAUGAAGUCUGGUGUGAUUUCUGGUGAGACACUUCAACACUGAGAUUGCUUUCCAGUGCUGACUAUUGCUUUGAGAACUCUACCGGUGCCUAAUAGCACUGUAUUUUUUUUUUCUUGCAAGGAUGUCUUUCAGAACAACAUGCCAAAGAACCAGGAAAGAUAACCUCAGUAGAGUUUCAUUUCAGGCCAAAGUGCAUGUGCAAACUAUUUUUUUCCCUGCUAAAUAAAUUUAGAGCUAUAGUUUUCUAUAGCUAUUUUAAUUGUACCUGUUAGUACUGAUGUCAUUCCUAAUGUAUGCUUUGCUACUAGG